rnacentral:rRNA from 1 species
CCUACGGGAGGCAGCAGUGCGGAAUAUUGGUCAAUGGGAGAGAUCCUGCACCAGCCAAGCCGCGUGAGGGAAGACGGCCCUAUGGGUUGUAAACCUCUUUUGUCGGAGAACAAAACCCGGGACGUGUCCCGGACUGCGUGUAUCCGAAGAAAAAGCAUCGGCUAACUCCGUGCCAGCAGCCGCGGUAAUACGGAGGAUGCGAGCGUUAUCCGGAUUUAUUGGGUUUAAAGGGUGCGGAGGCGGUCCGUUAAGUCAGCGGGAAAAUUGCGGGGCUCAACCCCGUCGAGCCGUUGAAACUGGCAGACUUGAGUUGGCGAGAAGUACGCGGAAUGCGCGGUGUAGCGGUGAAAUGCAUAGAUAUCGCGCAGAACUCCGAUUGCGAAGGCAGCGUACCGGCGCCAGACUGACGCUGAGGCACGAAAGCGUGGGGAUCGAACAGGAUUAGAUACCCCAGUAGUC